rnacentral:rRNA from 1 species
AUGAGAGUUGCGACGACGCCUUCAAGAAGGGAGCAAGCUUCGCCGCCACCGGUCCAUCCGAAGAUAGAGCAGGUUUUCACCCCGGCCAACACUCACCGCCACCGAGCACCACACCUCGGCUACCACGCCGCCCACACGGCCGUGGCAACCGGGCAACACCGAGGCACGGGCUCUGCCCAUGAGCAUCGCGCCACCACCACCAGGGCCGCCGCCCCGGUAUCCAAGACCUUGACACCAAGUCACCCAGGACCCGCCGCUACCCCAGCCGAAGAUACGAGCGGAAAGGCCCCGCCUUUUGCACCCCUGGUGGACACCCAACGUCGAGACCCAAUAGGUCGGCCGGCCACAACUAGCCUCCAUCGAACCGUCCUGCAGCACCGGGCGCGAUACGAGUGCAAUCCUCUUGCUGGGCGUGAGACGGGCCGGUCUUGCAGCCAGACGCGAGGCGAGCUCGGUCCUGCGGCACUGGGCGCGAGAUGUACCGCAGCUAGGAGAAGGCCAGCCCUCCGACAAGAGUAG